rnacentral:misc_RNA from 1 species
GAAAAACAUACUUAUGGAUCAAUGUCUCGCCGAUAUUACCGAUUUUGAAUAUCAAUUUCUAUCAUAUAUCUUGAAUUCAAAGUAGAUACAUUGUAGAAGAAAAUUCUCAGUUUGCCUAAUGAUGAUUUUCAAUCUCUAGAAGCAUCUCAACUACUUGGUUCAUGGUGGGUCUAGCGUCUUUGCUUUCCGCCACGCACUUCAAUGCCACUCCAAUUAGACCUUCCAAUUUCUUCCUAUCAUAGUCCGUUCCAAUGGCGGGAUUUGUGAUCUCUUCAACCCAGUAACUACUCCUUGCCGAAGCUCCAUGUUUCUUCUCUUUCACCCAUUCGACCAACCUCUUGUGCUCCACCUCUCCCCCAUUAUCAGCCAUCGACGGGCUCCUUCCGGUCACCAUCUCUAACACCACCACCCCAUAGCUGUAGACGUCCACUUUGGAAGUGAUGGGCAGAUUAAAUACCCACUCUGGAGCCAUGUAACCUCUUGUUCCUCUUAUCAUUGAGAAGCUUGAUUUGUGAAGCUCAUGACCUCUGCUUAGUAGCUUAGAUAGACCAAAAUCUGAUAGCUUAGGCUCAUAGUUAGCAUCCAAAAGUAUAUUCUGUGGCUUUACAUCACAAUGUAGAACCCAUUCCAAGCAUUCUUCAUGCAAAUAAGCUAGGCCUUUAGCAGUGCCCAAUGCAAUUUUAAACCUCUUUUUCCAAUCAAGUUCCAUGGAAGAGAGGUUUUUAGCUAAGGAUCCCUUCUCCAUAUUCUCGUAGACCAAAAGCCUAUGCUUUUCGUCUGCACAGUAUCCCCACAUCUCUACCAAGUUCAUGUGAUUAAGCUUCCCAACAGUGCUUACUUCUGCUAGAAAUUCA